rnacentral:rRNA from 1 species
AAUGGGGGAAACCCUGAUCCAGCCAUGCCGCGUGAGUAAAGAAGGCCUUAGGGUUGUAAAACUCUUUCACCUGCGAAGAUGAUGACGGUAGCAGGAGAAGAAGCCCCGGCUAACUCCGUGCCAGCAGCCGCGGUAAUACGGAGGGGGCAAGCGUCGUUCGGAAUUACUGGGCGUAAAGGGCGCGUAGGCGGCUAUAACAGUCAGGCGUGAAAGCCCCGGGCUUAACCUGGGAACUGCGUUUGAUACUGUAUAGCUAGAGAUUGGAAGAGGAGAGUGGAAUUCCAAGUGUAGAGGUGAAAUUCGUAGAUAUUUGGAAGAACACCAGUGGCGAAGGCGGCUCUCUGGUCCACAUCUGACGCUGAGGCGCGAAAGCGUGGGGAGCAAACAGGAUU